rnacentral:rRNA from 1 species
CCUACGGGUGGCAGCAGUGAGGAAUAUUGGUCAAUGGACGAGAGUCUGAACCAGCCAAGUAGCGUGAAGGAUGACUGCCCUAUGGGUUGUAAACUUCUUUUAUAUGGGAAUAAAAUGUUCCACGUGUGGGAUUUUGUAUGUACCAUAUGAAUAAGGAUCGGCUAACUCCGUGCCAGCAGCCGCGGUAAUACGGAGGAUCCGAGCGUUAUCCGGAUUUAUUGGGUUUAAAGGGAGCGUAGGUGGGUUGUUAAGUCAUGUGUGAAAGUUUGCGGCUCAACCGUAAAAUUGCAGUUGAUACUGGCAGUCUUGAGUACAGUAGAGGUGGGCGGAAUUCGUGGUGUAGCGGUGAAAUGCUUAGAUAUCACGAAGAACUCCGAUUGCGAAGGCAGUUCACUGGACUGCAACUGACACUGAGGCUCGAAAGUGUGGGUAUCAAACAGGAUUAGAUACCCGGGUAGUC